AACGAACGCUGGCGGCGUGGCUAAGGCAUGCAAGUCGAACGCGAUUAGUCAACGGGUAACUGGAGACUAGUUGAGUGGCGAACGGGUGAGGAAUACAUGGGUAACGUACCUCGGACACAGGGAUAACGGCGGGGCUUCGGCUCCUUUGCGAAAGUGCCGCUAAUACCUGAUGAUCCAGCGUGGUCUCCUGAUCAUGCUGGCAAAAGGUCCGCCGGUCUGGGAGCGGCCCAUGUCCUAUCAGCUAGUUGGUGAGGUAACGGCUCACCAAGGCAACGACGGGUAUCGGGCGUGAGAGCGUGACCCGACACAUCGGAACUGAGACACUGUCCGGACACCUACGGGUGGCUGCAGCAACGAAUAUUCCGCAAUGGGCGCAAGCCUGACGGAGCGACGCCGCGU
rnacentral:rRNA from 1 species